UACGUAGGGGGCUAGCGUUGUUCGGAAUCACUGGGCGUAAAGCGCACGUAGGCGGAUGUGUCAGUCAGGGGUGAAAUCCCGGAGCUCAACUUCGGAACUGCCUCUGAUACAGCACGUCUUGAGUCCGAUAGAGGUGGGUGGAAUUCCUAGUGUAGAGGUGAAAAUUCGUAGAUAUUAGGAAGAACACCGGUGGCGAAGGCGGCCCACUGGAUCGGUACUGACGCUGAGGUGCGAAAAGCGUGGGGAGCAAACAGG
rnacentral:rRNA from 1 species